rnacentral:tRNA from 1 species
GCCUUAGUGGCACAGUGGUUAAGUGCUCGGUUGCUAACCGAAAGGUUGAGGGUUCAAACCCACCAGCUGCU